GUGCCAGCAGCCGCGGUAAUACCGGCGCCUCAAGUGGUAGUCGCUUUUAUUGGGCCUAAAACAUCCGUAGCCGGUCUGAUACAUUCGUGGGUAAAUCAACCAGCUCAACUGGUUGAAUUCUGCGAGGACGGUCAGACUUGGGACCGGGAGAGGUGUGGGGUACGCUCAGGGUAGGGGUAAAAUCCUGUCAUCCUGAGCGGACCACCUGUUGCGAAGGCGCCACACUAGAACGGAUCCGACGGUCAGGGACGAAGCCUAGGGGCACGAACCGGAUUAGAUACCCGGGUAGUCCUAGGUGUAAACGCUGUGGACUUGAUGUUGGGGGAGCUCCGAGCACUCUCAGUGUCCAAGCGAAGGUGAUAAGUCCACUGCCUGGGAAGUACGGUCGCAAGGCUGAAACUUAAAGGAAUUGGCGGGGGAGCACCGCAACCUGAGGAUUGUGCGGUUUAAUUGGAUUCAACGCCGGAAAACUCACCAUAGCCGACGGACAUAUGAAGGUCAGUGUAAUGAACUUACCCGAUUGUUCGAGAGGUAGUGCAUAGCCGCCGUCAGUUCGUACCGCAAGGCGUUCUGUUAAGUCAGAUAACGAACGAGACCCUCAUCUCUAUUUACGAAAUGUAUCUCCAAAUAUAGUGCACUCUAGAGAGACCGCUGACUGGAAGUCAGAGGAAGGGGAGGGCAACGGUAGGUCAGUAUGCUCCGAAUGGUAUGGCAUACACGCCCAAUACAAAGGACGGGACAAUGGAAUGCUGCUCCGAAAGGAACGAUAGCUAUCCCGAAACCCGUUCGUAGUUCGGAUUGAGGGCUGUAACUCGCCCUCAUGAAACUGGAUUAGGUAGUAAUAUCGUCUCAAAAAGGCGCGGUGAAUAAGCCCCUGCUCCUUGCACACACCGCCCGUC
rnacentral:rRNA from 1 species